UACAGAGGGUGCGAGCGUUGUUCGGAAUUAUUGGGCGUAAAGCGAGUGUAGCGGGAUCGUGUGUCGGAUGUGAAAGCCCUCGGCUCAACCGAGGAAGUGCGUUCGAAACUGCGGUUCUUGAGUGUCGGAGAGGGUGGCGGAAUUCCCGGUGUAGAGGUGAAAUUCGUAGAUAUCGGGAGGAACACCAGUAGCGAAAGGCGGCUCGCUGGGCCAUUCCUGACGCUGAGACGCGAAAGCUAGGGGAGCGAACAGGA
rnacentral:rRNA from 1 species